CUGAACUUUGCGUGCUCUGCGUUAGAUUGCUCAACCUGUCUGCUCCACAGAAACUCACCUCGCUAACCACUGCUUGCUGCUUUCUCUUUUUGUGUUAGCCUACACCCAAAGCCACUGUCAGAUGUCAUGGAGAUGAGACUUCAGAAGUUUGGAAGCUCCGCUGAAACCUGUCCACCAUGGAUGACCCUGCUGGUAUUUGAAAUACCAGUGGCAUAGCUUUCAGCAUCACAGAACAUGACAACUGACAGUAUUACUGCCACCACAGUGUGACAACCGACAGACGGGUGGAGUGGUUCUCUGACCAGGAAAUGAACCCAGGCUGCAGAGACAAGGUGCCUGCCUAUGAGGCCUGUCCUGCACUGAAAGCUGCAGUUUGGGGUGCAUACGUGCUUCUGGCUUUCACUUCCUGAGGAUCAUUCGUUUUGAGAGCCGUUCCUGCUGAAUCUAGAUAUGUGUGAGGAAGCUGGAGACCGGGCCCCAUAACCUGUGCUGCACUCCCUCUGGCAAGAUUAAGCUUCUUAGAGCACACCUCCAAUCAGCCACAUUUCAGAGCUUUGUCAUUUGCUACCAAAUGAAGAACAAAUGCUUCCAGCUGAUGUUCAUUGUCUUGUGAUCUUCAUUUAUGGUGGAGGUUAAAAACUCAAAUAUCUACAGGCAUCAGAUACACAAGAAUUAUUUAAAGCAAGGUUUAAGGUGCUGGCCCUGUGCCCGAGUGGUUAAGUUCACGCACUCAGCUUCGGCAGCCCAGGGUUUCGCAGGCUCGGAUCCUGGGUGCAGACAUGGCACCACUCGCCAAGCCAUGCUGAGGCAGCAUCCCACAUGCCACAACUAGAAGGACCCACAACUAAAAAUGCACAACUAUGUACCCUGGGGCUUUGGGGAGAAAAGUGAAAAAUAAAAUCUUUAAAGCAAAGUUUAAGAAAAACUUUUGUCUUGAUAACAAAACCACCACAACAGCAACACUAAUAAUAAAAAGCCAGUCUAGUCAUACUAAUAAAUAGCAACUGACAUUUGCAGAGGCAAUAGGAAGUGCCAGGAACUGUGGCCAUCAACAGAGUUUGCGCCCUGUGCGGAGGUCCGCUUCUGCUCAUCUCCACUGAUCACUGGUAUGUGGGAAUGCAGGCCUAGACCUAUAGAUUUUUCAGGAGAGGCCAAAUAUUUAGGUUUUUAUGUGUAAUCUCCCAAUAUUUGAAUACUGGUAACUAAUUCAAAUAAAACUAACUCUUUCUCUCUCUCUUUUCAGUUAGAAAAGAAAACUAAAUAGUGACCAGGACAGACAAGUCACAAGGUGGUUACCUUGAGCUCAUGGUCUGCAAGUGUGCUCCCUCUGGAUUGCAGUAUGUUUCUCUCGCUCUGCUAUAUAGAUUUUAUGUUCCAUGCCCCCCCUUUCUCCCAUCAGGAUCUCUAGGUCUUGCCUUUCUGCCUUUCUUCUUAUAGUUCUUAUCCCCAGGAAAGCCUUCUUUACAUCCAAUCUGUUGAAAUCUUAUCAGUGCAGUCUACAUUAAGUUCUGUGUCCUCCAUAAAGCUCCUCCUGAUCUCAGUCAGGCAUCUUACUUUCUCACAAACUUUGAGUCAUCUCUUUUGUGGCCCAUUCCUUAUCUCUGCCUUGCAUAUUAGCUGUUUAUACUUACAUGCUCCAAAUUGAGUAUGCGAUGCACAAGGUAAGACCAUCUCUGGAACUCCACAGUCUUUGCAAAUAGCACCUAAAUGUAGCUGAAGCUCAAUAAAUCUGAUUUUGAGUUUGCCAAGAGAUGGGAGGAAAAGUCUCUGUAUUGGGAUAUUUUUAUUUCCAUUUAGAAUUGCAGCCCAUCUGCUUCUUAUCAAAAGACAGUAGGUCCAUCCAAUACUCUUCUCCCUCCAUAAUCCAGAUACCAUUUCUACCCUGUCUGUAAGAACUCACUUUUGUGGCACAGAGUGUGACAUGGAGUCUGCCUACUUUAAGGAGGAAAAACAUCACUGUACAAGAAGAUCAUCUGGUAUAUGGAAAGUUGAUCCUAGCCAGGAUGAUGCUCCUAUUGCUUUCUCAAUAAAAAGACAACAGAUUUGCUCAUCUUUGUUCUCUUUUAGAACUCUUUUAAUUCCUCUUUCAGUCAUUAUGUAGUUUCACUCAAUCUUCAUAGUCCGUGUUCUGAACCUGAACUUUCUCUGCUAUACCACACAGAGUUCUGAAGUACUACUGAUCAAAUAACAGGCCAUCAGGCAGCUGCCAUAUAGCAAAUAAAUGACCCCAGGGCACACUGCAAACUUAGUCAUGCAUAUUUAAGAGCACUCAGCCUGUGCACACUCUUAUUGAUGAAUGAUAAAUGCUUUGACAUACCUAUACCAUCAUAGCGUUAAAAAAUAAACCUGCCACAGUAGUUAGACCCUUGAGAAACUUUCAGAUGUAGAAAAGCCUUUAUAGAAAGUGUACUCCAUGAUAAUGCUGAUGCUUAGGAGUAUCCUAAAUCUUGUGCUACUGACUUACCAGGUUGGAGGUUUUAGUUACAGUUUAAGAAACUUCACUCAAGCCAGGAGAUACCCUAAACUAUAUUUUAGUGAGGAGAGUUGUAGUUCUGUUUAUAUCUAACAUAAUAGACAUCAAGGGAUUACAAAAAAUAUUCAGUGUUACAAUAAUCAUUGAAAGAUUCAAGGAAAUCUAAAAGAAAAAUGGCCAUUUCCUAACCGCCUAACACGUAAUCACUAAUUUGAUUUCUUGUUUCCUUUCAGCAUUUCUCCAAAUCUGCAAAUACUGUUUACCUAGUAUUAUAGAUUUUUUUUUUCCUUUUUCUCCCCAAAGCCCCCCAGUACAUAGUUGUAUGUUCUUAGUUGUGGGUCCUUCUAGUUGUGCAUGUGGGAUGCCGCCUCAGUGUGGUUUGAUGAGCAGUGCCAUGUCCACGUCCAGGGUUCGAACCAAUGAAACACUGGGCCGCCUGCAGCGGAGCACGCGAACUUAACCACUUAGCCAAGGGGCCGGCCCCGUGUUUACCUAGUAUUAAACGUACUUUAUGAAAACAUGCUUAACUGCUAUUUUGUUUUGUUAAAUAUUUCCUAACUUAAGAAAAAUGGUCCUCAUAUAUUCCAGCAGAUUCUUGCUUCUUUCAAUGGGAAGUGAUCUAUAGAUAUAAUAGGACCUAAACAUGUAUAUUCUCAGGCAUUUAGUUUUUCAAGGGAUCAAGAAAAAAUCAUAAAAUCAUAAAGCAACAAUGAUAUCACCAAUCAUAAAUAUAGGCUCUCACUUCAAUAGUUUAUUAUUUCCAAUGCUAGAAACACAAUCCUGAGAUGAGUAUGCAAAAUAGAGAUUCAUACGGUAGCUAAAGAAAUAUUGCAAGACAGAUGCUGGCCAGUAUUCAUCUUUAAACAGGCUUAAAUUGUAUUCAUGAAGAAUUUGACUACUCUUAAGAAGAAUUGGCCCAGAUGUCUAUCUGUCAGUCAUGAGUUACUUGUGGUCCAGGGGGUUUCCUGAGUGAAUAGUAGGAAUUCUCUGAGGUGGAGAGGCUGACAGGGCCAUCUUCCGAGCUUGUUAGUAUUCAUAUUUUGCACAGUAUUGAAGUUUUGUGCAUUCAGUUAAGUAGGUUUAUGGAUUAUAUUUGUUAAAAAAAAUUUAACCCUUACAAAAUGGACACGUGGCUUAUAAAGACUUCAGGAAAGAAACAGAGGGUUGAAGAUAAUAUAAGCCAAGCAAAUUUUGACAAACAUAAAAAUUCUUUUGCAUAAUUAGUGGGUGAUAAGGAGACAUAAGUAUCAUGAUUUAUGUUGAUAUAUUAUUAUUUUAUUUAUUUAUUUUUGAUGAAGAUUAGCCCUGAACUAACAUCUGCUGCCAAUCCUCCUCUUUUUGCUGAGGAAGACUGGCCCGAGCUAACAUCCGUGCCCAUCUUCCUCUACUUUAUAUGUGGGAUGCCUACCACAGCAUGGCUUGUCAAGCUGUGCCAUGUCAGCACCCGGGAUCCGAACCAGUGAACUCCGGGCCUCGAAUCGGAACAUGUGCACUUAACCGCUGUGCCACCGAGCUGGCCCCUUGAUAUAUUACUAAAGUAUUUUUCAUUCUCAAUAAUUCCCUGUUUUAAAGGCUACCCCUGCCCGUUGAACUUCAGGGUGACAUGGGGCAGAGCAGAAUGUCUGCUAUCGUGACCAGGAGCAGUGAGGCUGUGAGCAGCCAGCCUGGGGACCUGAAAGCCCCUGGGGAUGGGAUGUGGCAGCUUGUGCCAGGGACUUCAGAAAGUGACACUGGAGAGGCCAUGUGUUGAGGGGACUAAUGGAGCCAACAUGGUUGGAUAUUAGCUGGGGAUUCAAUGGAUGCUCAUCCCUGCUACCCCUCUCUCCUCCUCUGGUACUUUAUAACUCCCUACUCACAGCUCCAACGAAGAAAGAGCAGAGGGAAGAGUGAGAGGAACCAUGGAUCGACUGACAGAAACUUUAGCCACUUUGUGGAAUUGGGGGCUUAAAAAAGAUAUUACAGUCAUCUACAGAAAACUAAAGACUUUCUUUUUUUGCACAUCUGAGUUAGUAGCCUGAAAUGGUACGAGGUCCGUUAUACAGAGAGCAGUUUCAAUUCCCCUUUGUUUAUCUUCCUGUUUCUAGACUAGUGGUUCCCAAAUCUGUCGACAUAUUGGUAUCACCUGGGGAGUUUAAAAAACUACCAGUGCCUGCGUCCCAAACACAGAGAUUGUCAUUUAAGUUGAUCUGGAGUGUGGCCUGUGCUUUAUAAUUUUAAAAAGAUCUUAGGCGAUCCUCGUGUGCAGACAUUGGCUUACUCUUACACUUUGAUUUAGGAAGGCGUUCAUGGAUUCUUAAAGUUCAGAUUGCUGGAAGCGUGACAGCCCUCGGUGCCUCCCCUGUUACAGCACACACCAUUCUGCAAUCUCCUUCUCCAAUCACUUGGCUGCAUCCCCUACAGGACUGUGAGCUGCAUGAGGGCAGGGGCCUUGCCUUUUUGCUCACCAUUACUCUCCAGCAUCCGGCACAGUGCCGGGCAUGUAGAAGAUACAGAAUAAUUAUUUAUUGCAUGAGUGAAGGAAUGACAUGGGUCUUUACCUGCUUUCCUACUUGUUAUCCCCCACUCCUAGCUCCUCUUGAAUUAGAAAGCUCUCUGAGUGAGAACAGAUGAGUCUUGAAGCGUGGCUCCAGGAGUGACCAUUGAGGAAACGUGCACAUGUGCUCCUCAGCUGAACUCCUUGACAGCACUGUUGGGAGAUUAUGAUCCAAGGCCAAGUCUGUUGUCAUCAUCUUCUUAAAGUUCUGGGAAGAGAACAUUUCUGCCUUUCCAUUUCUGGAAUUAGUCAAGACCAUGCUAUGUAGAGUGAAUAAUUAGUUACAUGAUUAUGAAUGGUUUUGUUAGCUUGGCUCAAAUUUCUGGCUUUCUGUUUUUGUGUUCUAUAUAUUGGUCACCCAUGAUGUUUUAUUGACAUUUACUACAUCUCUAAAUUAUAUAUUCUUUGUUCAAUUACCAGGAAUUUGGUUGAUCACAAUAGCGAAUUUUAAUUUUAUACUUAAAAUUACUAAGUGCAAAGCAUAAUAUGCCUAAAGCUGUGCUUUUCUAUAGCAUUUAAAUCUAAAUGUAGGUAGUAAUAAUUAGAAGAUUCAUGAAUUUCAAAAUCUUUCUUCUAGAGUCUUUUUUAAAACCAUUUUGUGUGAUACAUUUUCUUUCUGAUUGUACCUACAAAUGGAAAUACACAUUUCAUUUUUAAAAUUCGACAGUGGACUUUAUUCUCCUCCAUCUGAUUAGUACCUCUCACUGGGAACCUGGAGCCCGUGGCGUGUGCAGCACCUUGUGAUCUGGGAAAUAAAGGUGAUUGGCAAAAAGAAAAAGAAAGUAAAUAGGCUUCUCUAGUUUUUUUGUUUUUUAAAUCUGUCUGCUAUUUCUGCUAUCUCAUUAAGCUCCCCAAACACUUGGUGAGUCUUUGAAGGCAUCAGCAAUGGUGUCCGUUGCCUACUCAGCAGCAAUCACCAUAGUAGAUUUUGUAAAAUGUGAAACACUCUUCUAUUUUGUGAAAUUUUAUCUUUUGACAUUUACUGUAAAAAAUAAGGCAAUGAUAUGUGGAGUAACUCUCAUAAGAUACCAAGUACAACACAAAAUACAACAAGGAAAGUCGUAAAAGCAAAUAAUGCACUCACCCACUAAUCUUUUAAAACGAGCUGCCGUCUCUUCUGGACCCCAGAUGCCUGGAAAUGGAUUAAUAAUAAUUCUUGGUUCAGGACACACUAUCAUCAUUUGAAUAAGCAUGGCCUUCCUUUGUUUGUUUGUUCUUUUGAGGAAGAUUAGCCCUGAGCUAACAUCUGCUGCCAAUCCUCUUCUUCUUUGCUGAAGACCACUGGCCCUGAGCUAACAUCCAUGCCCAUUUUCCUCCACCUUAUAUGUGGGACCCCUGCCACAGCAUGGCUUGACAAGCAGUGCAUAGGUCUGCACCUGGGAUCUGAACCGG
ensembl:lncRNA